rfam:Tupaia chinensis contig228831, whole genome shotgun sequence.
CUUCCGGGUCCUGCAUACAACCCCUAGAAGAGCCCGCAGUAUUUUCCAUACAUGAUCAGGCGCCAUUGUGAGUCUGAGAGGAUUACAAAAACGUGGUAGGUGAAGUGGGGCUGGGGACUGGACACAGGG